rnacentral:lncRNA from 1 species
CAGCACCCAUAUGGUGGCUCACAACUAUCCAUAAAAAAGUUGCAGGGGAUCCAAUGCUCUCUUCUGACUAAGUACACAUGGUAUACAUACAUGCAUAUAGAAAAACACAAAUAUUCAUUUUUAAAAAGGAAGGAGGCUUCAGAAGAAAAAGCAAGAACUACCAUAAAGCUAUGGCUCCACUGAAACACAGAACACAGAAUCAGGUGAGGGGGUAGAGAGAUGGCUUAGGGAUUAAGAGCACUGGCUAUUAUUCUAGAGGACCGGGGUUUGAUCCCCAGCACCUAUAUAGCAACAUGCAACCAUCUAUUAAGUCCAGUUCCAGAGGGACCUAACAUCCUUUUCUGACCUCCAUGGGACCUGAAUGUACAUGGUGUAUAGACACACACACUAGUAAUACACCUACCUAUAUACAUAAAAUAAAUAAAGACACCACCCCCACCACCCCAAGACAGGGUCUCACUAUGUAGCUCUGGCUGUUUGAGAACUCACUACAUAGACCAGGCUGCCUUUGGUUUCAUAUUAAGACCCAGA